CCACUGGGUAAGUACUCUCCUGGGUAAGUUUGUAUUGGGGUCAAGCACCCUGAGCCACAGAGUUAGAGACCAGCUUCUCAUCAUUGUCUCAGUCUCUCCUCCAGGCUCUCCCCCAUCCCACCUGAUUUCAAGUUGUUCUUUCUUAUUGUAGAAUGGAUGGGAGCUCUAGGUAUAUAGGACGCAGACUUGAAUCUACAGCUGAGACCUCAUCAGAUCAGAAAAAGCCUUGUCCCCAUUUCCUGCCCUCCCUCCAGAGACCCUGCUUUUGUGGCUGCAUCCUGAGAAGCAAGGCCAUGCUCCAUGAACGGACCCCCAUAUGCCCUCCAACCUAUCCCUGCAGUUUCUCCAAAGCUUCCCCCCAGGACCACUGA
rnacentral:lncRNA from 1 species